rnacentral:rRNA from 1 species
GAUGAACGCUGGCGGCGUGCCUAAUACAUGCAAGUCGAGCGAAUGGAUUAAGAGCUUGCUCUUAUGAAGUUAGCGGCGGACGGGCGAGUAACACGUGGGUAACCUGCCCAUAAGACUGGGAUAACUCCGGGAAACCGGGGCUAAUACCGGAUAACAUUUUGAACCGCAUGGUUCGAAAUUGAACGGCGGCUUCGGCUGUCACUUAUGGAGGGACCCGCGUCGCAUUAGCUAGUUGGUGAGGUAACGGCUCACCAAGGCAACGAUGCGUAGCCGACCUGAGAGGGUGAUCGGCCACACUGGGACUGAGACACGGCCCAGACUCCUACGGGAGGCAGCAGUAGGGAAUCUUCCGCAAUGGACGAAAGUCUGACGGAGCAACGCCGCGUGAGUGAUGAAGGCUUUCGGGUCGUAAAACUCUGUUGUUAGGGAGAACAAGUGCUAGUUGAAUAAGCUGGCACCUUGACGGUACCUAACCAGAAAGCCACGGCUAACUACAUGCCAGCAGCCGCAGUAA